rnacentral:rRNA from 1 species
AUGGCCAUACCACAUUGAAAACACCGGUUCUCGUCCGAUCACCGAAGUUAAGCAAUGUCGGGCCCGGUCAGUACUUGGGAGGGUAACCACAUGGGAACACUGGGUGCUAUAGGCU